GGGCUCAUAGCUCAGUGGUAGAGUGCCUCCCUUGCAAGGAGGAUGCCCUGGGUUCGAAUCCCAGUGAGUCCA
rnacentral:tRNA from 4 species